AUGGCUCAGAUUGAACGCUGGCGGCAGGCCUAACACAUGCAAGUCGAGCGGCAGCGGAAAGUAGCUUGCUACUUUGCCGGCGAGCGGCGGACGGGUGAGUAAUGUCUGGGAAACUGCCUGAUGGGGGGGGAUAACUACUGGAAACGGUAGCUAAUACCGCAUAACGUCGCAAGACCAAAGAGGGGGACCUUCGGGCCUCUUGCCAUCAGAUGUGCCCAGAUGGGAUUAGCUAGUAGGUGGGGUAACGGCUCACCUAGGCGACGAUCCCUAGCUGGUCUGAGAGGAUGACCAGCCACACUGGAACUGAGACACGGUCCAGACUCCUACGGGAGGCAGCAGUGGGGAAUAUUGCACAAUGGGCGCAAGCCUGAUGCAGCCAUGCCGCGUGUAUGAAGAAGGCCUUCGGGUUGUAAAGUACUUUCAGCGGGGAGGAAGGUGUUGUGGUUAAUAACCACAGCAAUUGACGUUACCCGCAGAAGAAGCACCGGCUAACUCCGUGCCAGCAGCCGCGGUAAUACGGAGGGUGCAAGCGUUAAUCGGAAUUACUGGGCGUAAAGCGCACGCAGGCGGUCUGUCAAGUCGGAUGUGAAAUCCCCGGGCUCAACCUGGGAACUGCAUUCGAAACUGGCAGGCUAGAGUCUUGUAGAGGGGGGUAGAAUUCCAGGUGUAGCGGUGAAAUGCGUAGAGAUCUGGAGGAAUACCGGUGGCGAAGGCGGCCCCCUGGACAAAGACUGACGCUCAGGUGCGAAAGCGUGGGGAGCAAAC
rnacentral:rRNA from 1 species